UCUGAAUAUAUAAUCUGAAAUAAACAACAAGUCUUCAACACUGGUUCAUCUUUCCUUUUCCUUUGCUAGUGGUUGGCUCAUUAAUGUGACGUCCCCAAAAUAGGUAUACAUCACCUAUUCUGAGUCGCCAAAUACAUGGUAUAGAAACAAAUACAACUUCAGUAAUACAAUCGUCAUGCAAAAUACGACAACACAUAUAUUGUGAGUUUGAAUACAAAUAUUGUCUAGUAGACAGUAUACAAACUCAAAAGGAGUCCUCAUUAUAAUUAUUGAUACACUAUUUUACAAAAUAGUGAGG
rnacentral:lncRNA from 1 species